rnacentral:lncRNA from 10 species
GUGAAACAAGCACUCCCUUGGCCACCCCAGCUGGAGUCCCACUAGGUUGUGUGCACCUUAAGUCCAUUGGCUCCAAACCCAGCGUAGCACCAAGAUUUGCCCAGGAAUUGCAGUCAUUGUUGCCUAGACUGCCUUUCAAGUUUAUUUAGGACCCCAGCAGCUUUAGCCUGUGGUGGUGGGGCUAGCCAUAACUCACAUUCUAACUGCUGGGAUGGGUUAUUCCCCUCUGGCUAGGGUUGCUCUAAAUAUUCCCUUUGUGGGCACCAGCCAAAUUCUGCCCUGUAUUGCUUUCUGCUGUAACAAGGCAGCGCUAAAUUCAAUGCAAAGUCUCAUAAUCACUGUGCUCUCCUCUGAAGCACACAGAUUCUCUCCACACCACGUGGCUGCUGCCAGUGAUACAAAAGUGGUGAUGUCGGUGAUACAAGACUGUCUUUCCUACCUUCUUCAGUGCCCCUUUCCUUGAUAUGAUAUUCAAGUCAGGUAUCAUGAUUGCUCACCUGAUUUUGUUUUUUAUGAAUGUGCUUUCUUAUGUGGAUAGUUGUUCAACUUGGUGUUCCUUUUGGGGAGAGGUGGGUACAAUUGCUGGAGGGUUCUAUUCAGCCAUCUUGCUCUGCCUCCUCCUCAACCAAGACAUUUUGAGAGUGAGAGAGGUGUUAUGAGCAAUCAUACCAGGACAACAGGCAUGAACUGAUACUCCCUCAGGUUACAUGAGCAUACUACUUAAGAAAAAUGUUCCUAGGACAGAAACAAUUCUAUGUGUUCACCAAAACAUUUCAUUUUCCUCCUGGACAAAAAAAAAAAAAAAAAAAAAAAAAAAAAAAAAACACUUUAUUUGCUAUCAUUACCACUCCAAACAUACACAAACACACACACUCACAAACACAGCAGAUAGAUACAUUGAGUCAUGAGACAUAGAUUAGAUAGAUAGAUAGAUGGAUAGAUAGAUAGAUAGAUGAUAGACAGAUGAUAGAUAGAGUUAUGAUUAUAAGUCAUGGGCAACUUGGUGUGAGCUGAAGUGAUGCUCUCUGUUUCAGGCACAGCCAUAAAACAUCCUGAGUCAUAUUAGGACAGUCCCCAUUGACUCCUUGAUGAUGGAAACAUACAGUGAAACGAGUCAGGAUUCUGAGUUUCCUGCUUGGAAGAGAGCCACCAAGGAGAGCCACUGACCAGGAACCUCCUCAUGAGACUCUGCAUGAGCAAAAAAUAAAUCUUUGUGGUAUUAAAGCUCUACAACAACUAGGUGAAAUUCAAGAGUGGACAGAAUAGAACCAUGGAGUAUUCAGUGCCAGGGAAAUGGCCAUCAGGAGCCAAGGAACAAGAAACUACUUCUGGAAAGAAGAGGCACACAGGUACCUGUAACAAAGCAAACAAACACAAAAGACUAAAUGUGGAGCCAUUGUCUCAGUCCCACCUGCUUUCACCUAUCUAAGAGCUGAUAAUGACCCAGUUUUUUAAUUUGCUAUUGAUAACUACAAAGAACUGAGUAACUGAGGGGUAAAUUCAGAGACUACAAACAGACAGUUUUCUGGCAGAAGCAUUUACCUGAAACUAACCUUACUUAUGGGGUUAAGAGUAGAAUGGCAGGAGAAAAGAUUGGAUAUCAUCUUCCUGCAUUGCUAAAUAUCAAUAAGCUUAUUUAUUGCAACAUGUUUUGAUCCAAAAUGAUAAUGCAAUAAGUAUCUCCCUUGAAUCUCAAAGGGAAAACAGAAAAUGACAGAUUCCUCUUAAAUUUUUUAUUGUUCUCAGUUUAAUAAUACAUCAACAGAAACAAUUUUUAUGCAUUCAACAUUCAAAUCAUGUCCUUUAAGUCUUUUCAGACUAAAAACUAUAUCUUUGCAAUAUGAGUACUCUAGAGAAUAACAUCAAAAGUUAACAAAAAUGUAUCAGUAUUCCCAAUUUGCAAACAUGGUAUGUAACUAAAGAAAUAUAUUCAGGGUUUUGUCUGUCUGCUUAUUUAUUUGACUGUUUUAAAAUUCAUCUUUAUCUAGUUUCACUUCUUUCAGCAAUAGGCUGAAAGAAGUUUGUUUCCCAUUCUUCUUUGUGACUUGUCAGAGGUUUUAAAGAGUGAUAAUCCAGAAACAAAAGUCAGGGAAAUUAAACACUCUAGCAUUUCAAUGAAGGAUUUAGCAAAUCCCCUUUUAUAAAUGUUUGGAAAUUCUGGCAAUUAAGUAAGAAGUACUAUAGGCUGAAUUUCACCACCAAGACAUUUUUAUAGGUAUUAUACCAAUAGGCAACAUGGUGAAACCCCACCUCUACUAAAAAUAAAAAAAUUAGCUGGGUGUGGUGAUGUAUGCCUAUAGUUCCAGCUGCUUGGGAGGCUGAGGUAGGAGGAUCACUUGAGCCUGAGCAGUUGAGGCUGCAGUGAGCCAUGAUUGUGCCACUGUACUCCAGCCUGGGUGAAAAAACAAGACUCUGUCUCAAAAAAGAGAAAAUAUUAUAGCUAUGCUAUAUUUCAGUCUUUGGGGAUAUUGUUAACAUAUAUCAUGAUUUCUGAUUGUAAAAUAGAUCAUACUUCAUUCAGGAAUCUCAUUAUGUAAAGCAUUUCAAACCACAAAACCAUGUUCUUUAAAGUAGGAAGUUUAUGAGGGGUUUUUGUUUCUUUAUUUUUAUCUUUUUAAAAUCUUAUCUCUGUAAGACAAAAUAAAUGAAAAGAUGUCCCAUGUUCAUGGGUUGAAAAAAAUUAAUAUUGUGAAAAUGUCCAUACUACUCAAAGCAAUCUACAGAUUCAAUGCAAUUUCUAUCUGAAUUUCAAUGACAUUUUUCACAGAAAUCAACAAAAAAAAUUCUAAAAUUCACAUGGAACCCCAAAAGGUCCCAAAUAGCAAAGCAAUCUUCAAGCAAAAAGAAUAAAGCUGAAGAUAUCACAUUACCUAAUUUCAAAAUAUACUACAGAGUUACAGUGACAAUGACAGCAUGGAACUGCCAUUAAAAACAGACAUACAGAACAAUGAAACAAAAUGAAGAGCCCAGAAAUAAAUUGACACAUUUAUAGUCAAUUGUUCUUAGACAAAGUUGUCAAGAACACACAAUGGGGAAAGGACAGUUUCUUCAAUAAAUGGUGUUGGGAAAACUGGAUAUCCAUGUAUAGAAGAGUAAAAUCAGAUCCUCACAUUGCACCAUCUAUAAAAACUGGGUCAAAAUGAUUAGAGACUUAAAUGUAAAAUCUGAAACUAUAAAACUACUAGAAGAUAACAUAGAAAAAACAUCUUAACAUUGGUGUGUGGGCAAAUUUUUUUUGGAUAUGACCCUAAAGGCACAGGCAACAAAAGCAAAAAAUAUACAAAUCAGAUUUCAUCAAACUAAAAAGCUUAUACACAGCAAAGGAAAUAAUUAACAGAGUGAAAAGGCAAUCUAUGGAAUGGGAGAAAAUAUUUACAAACUGAUAAGGGAUUAAUACCCCAAGUCCGUAAGGAACUCACAAAACUCAAUAGCAAGAAAACAACCCAGUUAAAAAGUGGGCAAAGGAGCUGAACAGACAUUUCUCAAAAGAAGACAUACAAAUGACCAAUAGGUAUAUGAAAAAAUGCUCAACAUUUUUGUUGAGCAUUAUUGCAAAAAUCAGAGAAGUUUCUCUAAUGAUCAGGGAAAUGCAAAUUAAAUUCACAAUGAGAUAUCACCUCUCAACUGUUAGAAUGACUGUUAUCAAAAAGACAAAAUAGCAAGUGUUGGUGAGGAUGUGGAGAAAAGAAAACCCUUGUGCACUGUUGGUGAGAGUGAAAAUUGCUAUAGCCAUUACGGAAAACAGUAUAGAGUUUCCUCCAAAAAUUAAAAAUAGCACUACCAUGUGAUUCAGCAAUUCCAUUCUUGGGUAUAGAGCCAAAGGAAAUGAUAUCAAUAUCUCAAAGAGAUAUCUGCACUCCCAUGCUCAUUGCAGUACUAUUCACAGUGGCAAAGAUAGGGAAUCAACCUAAAUGUUCAAUGACAAAUAAAUGGAUAAACAAAAUGUCUCUUAUACAUAUACAAUGGAAUAUUACUCAAACUUAAAAAAGAGGAAGCCGGGCACGGUGGCUCACGCCUGUAAUCCCAGCACUUUGGGAGACCAAGGUGGGUGGAUCACGAGAUCAGGAGAUUGUGACCAUCCUGGCCAACAUGGUGAAACCCUGUCUCUACUAAAAAUACAAAAUUAGCCAGGUGUGGUGGUGCGCACCUGCCGUCCCAGCUACUCAGGAGGCUGAGGCAGGAGAAUCGCUUGAACCCAGGAGGCAGAGGUUGCAGUGACCUGAGAUCAUGCCACUGCAUGCCAACCUAGGUUAUAGAGCGAGACUCCAUCUCAAAAAAAAAAAAAAAAAAAAAAACACCAUGCAAAGUGAAAUAAGUCUAGCACAGAAGGACAAAUACCGCAUGAUCUUACUUUUCUUCACAUCAUCACCAGCACCUGUCUUGUCUUUUUGAUAGCAUUCAUUCUAACAGUGGAAUCUAAAGAAGUCAAGCUUGUAAAAGCAGAGAGUAGAUUAGUGGCUGUCUAGGGGCUGGAGGGUGGGGAAAAUGGGGAGAUGUUGGUCAAAGUGCACAAAGUUUCAGUUAUACAGGAUAAAUAAGUUCUAGAGAUCUAAUGUACAGCAUGGUGACUACAGGUUAUAUCAUUGGGUUGUAUACUUGAAAUUUGCUAAGAGAGUAGCUCUCACCACACACACACACUUACACACAAAAUAGAUAUAACUAUGUGAGAUGAUAUGUAUGUUAAUUAGCAUGGCUGUGGUAAUCAUUUCACAAUGUAUAAAGCAUGUUGUACACUAGACAUAUAUACAAUUUUUAUUUGUCAAUAAUACUUCAAUAAAGCUGAAAAAAAUCCUGUCUCUUAAUUAUUGUAGAGAAAGUUACUGUAGUCUGCUACACAUGGUGAUGGUAUACUUCAUAUAAAGUCUUGGUGGCCAAAUGUUUUCAAUAAGGAUGGAGGAAAGAGGGUUAUGUAGAUCACCACUGAGUGAUCUCUCAGUUUCCUUGUGUGUAGCAUGAUUUGUUCUAAUAAAUUGUAUGUUUUAUAAGGUACCAAUUAUUUUAAAAGCAUUUAAAUGCAAUUGUGCAAAUAUCUGUAGUGUGUCUAAAUAUGUACACUUUUCAAUGAUUUUAUUCUUUUGAAGUUAAAAAGGUCUUAUGUCCAGAAAUAAAUUCAUUCUCAGAUAUUUUUAAUUUCAAAUUUAUUGCUAAUAAAAUUCAAUGAAACAUUUUCUCCAAGCUGCCUUACAUAAACAAUUCCCAUUGAUUAUUUCACUGGAAG